rnacentral:misc_RNA from 1 species
GCAAACUUGGUCAUUUAGAGGAAGUAAAAGUCGUAACAAGGUUUCCGUAGGUGAACCUGCGGAAGGAUCAUUAAUGAAUAACAAGUCGGCCUUCUGUGCUGGUGGAAACACAUGUGCACGUUGGUCGCAAAUCCACACACCUGUGCACCUUUGACUUUGGGAUCCGCUUGUCUUUUGACUUGCAGCAGGUUGGCCUUGCGCCGGCCUGGGUCUCAGAGUAAUUUUUACACACUCUUGAAUGUAAUGGAAUGUCUCUGUGCUUAAUGCGCAUUAUAUACAACUUUCAACAACGGAUCUCUUGGCUCUCGCAUCGAUGAAGAACGCAGC